rnacentral:rRNA from 1 species
GAUGAACGCUGGCGGCGCGCUUAACACAUGCAAGUCGAACGGGAAACCUAUUAUUGAAACUUCGGUCGAUUUAAUUUGUUUCUAGUGGCGGACGGGUGGGUAACGCGUGGGUAACCUGCCCUAUACAGGGGGAUAACAACCAGAAAUGGUUGCUAAUACCGCAUAAGCGCACGGGACCGCAUGGUCCAGUGUGAAAAACUCCGGUGGUAUAGGAUGGACCCGCGUUGGAUUAGCUAGUUGGUGGGGUAACGGCCCACCAAGGCAACGAUCCAUAGCCGGCCUGAGAGGGUGAACGGCCACAUUGGGACUGAGACACGGCCCAGACUCCUACGGGAGGCAGCAGUGGGGAAUAUUGCACAAUGGGGGAAACCCUGAUGCAGCGACGCCGCGUGAAGGAAGAAGUAUCUCGGUAUGUAAACUUCUAUCAGCAGGGAAGAUAGUGACGGUACCUGACUAAGAAGCCCCGGCUAACUACGUGCCAGCCGCCGCCGUAA